rnacentral:lncRNA from 1 species
UUGGGAAUUCUGAUGAAUUGGCUAGUUGGUUCCUCUUCUUGUUUUGUUUUUGUAUAUAUGUGUGCAUCUUGUCUCUUACAGUUUUGUUCAGAAAAAAAAGAGAGAGAAAGAGACAGGAUGAGAAAAAAGAAAAAAAAACAGAAAAACAGUGAAAAAUGAAAAAAAAUUGUGAAUAAUUGUAAAUAAUGGAGUCAAGAAGAGGAUUGAAUUAAAGGUUUUGGGUGUGUUUGAAUGUGUUUACACUUGUUCCCCAUUGCUCCUCUAUUUCCCUUUGGUUUGUAACUUCUCAUCCAUAUCAUAACCUCCC